UAUUAGACCACCCACAUUAUCAUUUGUUCCCAAAGUCUCAGAAAUUGAACCAAUCGUUGUCGAAUCCGAAAAAGUCCAAGAUUCACAAGUCGUAGAAUCUACUAGUGGAGAUCGAGACCAGGGCAGACUGCCUUGAUAGCUCCGUCAUAUUCCAUGCCGUCGUUGACAUCCUAGGGUAAUUCAACAUUGGAAUCAGUUGGUUACGCUACUAUAUAUGAUGAGAUGGAUGUGAGUUAGAGUUGAUCUUUCUUUUGCAUUUCUCUUGUUGGACGGCUCAAACUUUCAUGUUUUGCCCAAGCUAGGCUCGCUCAAACUCUUGACAUCGCUCUAUUUCUCUCACCAACUCAUCGUCGUCUAAAGAAUACCGUUCUUGAAUGAUCCAAUCAUUGAUCGGCAACAGUGGAAAAAUCGACUCCUGAAAGAAAAGAACCCUAACUUUCUCAUUGGAGCAAAUUUCAACAAAGAUGAAUGGGAAAUUAGUUUUUCUGAGGUAGCAGAAAGCAAAUUAGAGCUGUAAGCUUUUAUGAGGAUAUUAUAGCAACUGGUGGGGCUAAUACAAGUCUUGUACUCUUUGAUCGGCCAUUAGGAGAGAUUUUAUCUACACUUAAUGGUCAUUCAAAGAAGGUCUAGUGCCUUCCUUUCUUUUGUUUAUUGUUUGAAUUUUAUCUACUUACGGAAAUCUUUUGGCUAAGCACACUCGUCUCUCCUUUUUCCUCUGCUCUUUUUGCAGGUUACAAAUGUUAAAUUUGUGGAUGAGGGUGACUUGGUUGUUACU